GCUGUGCAUUGCCAUUCUCUGGAGCAGCCAUUGGUUCAAGUACCCGAAAGCUUCUCAAUCCUUGCCCAGCUGCGAUGUCCUGAUUCACGACUUAAUCCUCACGGAUAUAUGCAUGAGAGUUCAUGCACCAUGGAUUGAUAGAAUGAUUUCAAUGCCUCGAUUCUGUUCUUUUGUCAUUACUAAAGGCCCCUAGCAGCAUCGGUUUUACCCCUUCUGUUGCCUUGCCUUUGUGUGGUGUGACCUCCUCGGCUCAGAAUCCUUCUACCCUUUCUGCUACUCAUCCUCUCCAAUUUAGUACCAUUUUAUGCAGUGGGAAUGGGAUCAUCAUAUGAGAUAAAAUGUCAUGUAAGAGCUGUUUAUUUUUUAUUUGGAUCAAAGUAGGCAGCGUAAGUGAAAUUUCCUCUGGUUUCUGAAUCGUUGAUUUCAAAGGAGUAUGUCAGCACCAUGACAAAGCAUUAAAGCCUUCAGAUAACCUACUACAUAUAUGAAGUAACAAUGUUCUUACUACACAGACAUGUAGCAAUUCUUAGUUUGAUAGUUUUAAUUUUUUUUUCCAAUGUUCAGCUUUCCCUUAGUGAUUAUGAAUUAAUUGUUCCAAUUGACAGUGACCAUUGACUAACCAUAUACUUUUGGUCUCACUAAGCUUGGUUAUUUCUGUUGUAGCUUGCUUAUCGCCUUUUUCGCCCCUCCAAUGUUUGUAGUAUGUCCUGCCUUAAUGCAAGUGCUAAUGUCUGAUUAAAGGAUGUUCUGCUGUGCCUUCAGAUUUGGAUUGGUACUUAUUUACAGAUUGACGAAUUCCCUUCUGACUUAUGGAUACAUUGCUUAUGAGCCCUACAUAGAAGUAGAACUGAUUUCUCUGGUAGAGGGGAGCUAUCAGCAAGAUAAAUGCGGCUGGCUAAGUAUCUUAGGAGCCUUCAGAAGUUAGCAGAUGAGGAGAAGAAGUCUCAUUCGCUUCUAAAAUGAUUCGAUCAGAGGGUCUGCAAGAACCAACACUAUAGUUCCAGAUCAAGGAGCAAUGUGGUUCCACUAUUUGUUGCAACAAAACAGAAGCCAAUCAUGUCACAUCCUAGAAUAUUAACAGAGUUAACUCUACCACAGCUAAGCACUAAACUUAUUCCGGUUCAUAUUUCAUAAAUGUCAGCUGAACCGAUAACUUACACUGCAAAACUGAAAUCUCAUGUAGGAGUUCUUAUGCAGCACUUGCUCUGUGAAAGCAACAAGAGGCUCCAAAAAAUUUCUGGCUCAAUUUGUCGAUGACCAAUAAAAUGUUUAAGCAUAGUGACUUUGUAACUAUAUGCCACGUAGGGGGAAAAACAAAUAGAUGCAACCUUCAGUACUAUUAUAUGCAUAUAUGUAUCUUCAUAGUUAAUCUUCUUUUUUCAAGGAAAACAAAAAAUGCUGCAGACUGGUCUAUUAUAAAUAAAUAUUUCUUGAACUUGGUUA